rnacentral:lncRNA from 1 species
GUUAAUAGAGCCAAAGUGCUUAUUUUAUUAAAACCUUUUAUAAAUAAGCCUCACUUAGCCCCAGCCAGACACAUAGUCUUGGUGCCUAAAAUCAUGACUCCUCUACAUUCUGGAGACCUAGAUGUCUACAAAAAAGACUUCUUUCGUGGACAGGCUGAGAAUCAUCGUCACCACCAUCACCCUGUAUCUAAUCCCAAGACGGCUCUCCAGGGCUGCAGAAACUUUCUUCCCACGCUGCCUGCCAGCGCCCCCGACCCCACCCCGUUUCCUGUAACUUCUCCUAGAUAUAGCCCAGCUGGGUCUUCUCAUCAUAAUGCAAAUGACCCAAGGUCUUAAGCCCGUCAGCGUGGAAGGGAACCUCCAGCAGAAACCGGCCACUCCAAAACAGAGAAAGACGACAGCCAGAGCCAUGACCCAGCACAGCUCAUGCAAACACUAGGAUCCAUAAGAAAGUGCUGGACCUUCAAGGAGAGGAGAAACAGGUACUCCCUCAGGCUCCAGUCCAUUCAUUUCUUCACUACUUCAUUCAUUCAACAAAAACUGAUUAAAUUACCGGGUUCAAGGCUGCGUCCCUAUAAUCAAUGGUACAAAUAUAACAACCCACAGAAUUAGGAUGUAGAUACACACAGACACAUGUAUGUGUAUACACAGAUUUUAUUAUUCAUGUGUGUGGGUUGUGAGAGCUAUUCCAAGAAUAAUCUGAAAAUCAUUGGUAUCAGGCUUUGAAAUGCAUCGAUGCUUUUUAAUACAUUUACCUCCUUGGUGAUGUUUG